CUGGGAGAUGAGCGCCCAUGUCCUUCUGCCAGCAGAUGGCCUCCUUGGCUGAAGUCUGCUCCAUCACCACGUGUGUCACCUCUGAGCUGGGAAAAGAGGAGGAGAAUGAAACCAAGGGCCCCUGUCCCAAACCUUUGCUUUUGCAGUGUCCUCUGCAUGGUGACUGCCCUGCAUUCUUCAAACGCCCCUUCUUCUGGAAAGCCUUCGUAGCCCCUCCUAGAUGGAUGAACACCUCUCCACUCCUCCACCUGGUUUUUGGUGCAGCCACUCUCACAAGCCAGUUUGACUUGUUAAUUUGUCUGCCACCCUCUGCCACAGGGAUUGGGGAGCUGGUUGGUGAAUUCUGCGAACUCAGGACAUCCUAGGACCGCUGGCUCACUGGAAGGGAGAGCAGCUAGCAAAUAUGGCUCACUAACUACUUUUCCUUGUAUGGCUCUUUAAGAAGCUUCCGGCUUGAUGGCACCCUUUCAAAAUGAGGAACUUGGAGUAGGAGGAAGGUACCGCAACCGCGAAGUGCUAGGGGUGGCCUAGAUCGCAAAGCCGCAGGUGUUUAGAACCAUCUCCAUCCCUGCACCACGGUGGGUCCACACACUGGGGUGACCGGCUUAGACCAGCCCCCCGCAAGGCUGGCAUCCCACCAACACCGGGCCCUCGCAGGAGCCGCACACCUGUAGGUAUCUAGGAUGCGGAAGCCUUUGGAUCGCGCCAGGCUUGUGAGGAAGGCCCGGCGGCUGCGGCCCAUGCGCGGCUCGGCCAGGUAGAUGGACACCCCCGGGAAGCGCGCCGGCGCGGAGGAAGCAACAGCGCGGCGUGGGGACUCAGCCCGCACUCGCCGCCGCUUGGGAAGCAUCUGGAUUCGGAACUCCGGAGACACGGAAGGCCGCAGAGGAAGGCGGAAGAUCAGCGAGGAAGUUUGCAGUGAGAGGAAGCGCUAUCUGCUCCCCUGCGGGGGGUGGGUGGGUGAAGGACUCUAUGAAAAUGAGGCGCGCUCUGGGAAGGUUUGGUCUCUCUUCUGAGGCCCCACCUCUAUGCAAAUAACGACUCGUCUGCUGUUUGACUUACUGUCUGGGAAAGCACCCUUGGCUCCGCAGACCUUAGAGGAGAGGGCCUGGGUCCGUGGGCGGGGCUUCGCCUUCGACUGGGCGGGCCUUGUUCUUCCCGCGGGAGCCGGGUCUUCGCCCACCCUCUCCUAUACACCCCCAUCCCCCAAAGGCGGUGCUCGGUUUAUCCUGGACCAGCUGCCUCUGCUGAUGACGCGGCGCCUGCGCGGCAUCCCCUGAGUAUGCAAAGAAGAGCAGAUACGUAGUCUGCUAAUAAGCUGCUGGAGUGCGAAAAAUUUUACAAUCUAACGGCACUGAGACAGCUGGACCUCUAUUUGGAAAAACAGAAACUGCCCCCUCCCUUACUGCUUAACAUCAAGUAAAUCCCAGAAGGCUCAAACGUUUAAAUCUGAAAAGAAACCAAAACUGUACUGGCAGAAACUCGAUCUUUUUUUCUUUUCCAUGAAUUCCCCAUGAAUGCUGGGAACCUAACUUGGGUCUUCUGCAAGAGCAACAAGUGUUUCUUAACCGCUAAGCCGUUUAUCUGGUCCCUUAACAUUUUUUUUAAGAAAAGAUUUAUGUGCUUGGCUGUUUUGCCUGAACGUAUGUAUGUUUACCACGUAUAUGCCUGUAAAGAACCAGCUUUCCUCAAUCUUAGGCUUAAAAGCCAUAUAUCUUAUAGAAAAAAAAAAAAAAACAAGGUCCAUUCCCGUUUAUGAUUAAACCUCCAUUUCUCAGGAUUGAGUUAUGUCCCACUUGUAACCUUAACCACAAAUUCUGUAUUGCCUGCUCCAGGAAUAGCAAUGAUGCCUUUGUUUCACAAAGUUGUUUAUAACCAUCUUACAACCCUACCUUUGUUUCAAAAGGUUAUAUGACUACCUUUUGUGAUGAUCUUGUUUUGACCACCUGUUAUGUUCUGCUCCUAUAAGCCUACCUAUUUUACCUGUCAAAUCCCCCUUUUGGGAAUCCCCUACUCAUGAGCUAUAAAAGCCUUGUCUUCCUCACAUCUGAUGCUGACCUCUAGAACCUCACUUUAAGAGGGAGGCAGCCUGUGUUCACGAAUAAAAAUGCUUGCUUUAAUUAA